ACAUAAACAAGAAAUGGCGGGAAAGAGAGCGACGCCGGCGCUGUGACCAGGGUGUGCAGACAGAAGCGGAGGACGGUGGAAAAACCGGCUGCGAAGCAAGCGACGGCCGCCGGCGCACGCAGCGCCGCGUGGGGUCGGUGAGCGCAGUUAGCGUUUUCAACUGGCGGGCUGGCUUUGCGGAGAAGCGGUGUGGAGGUCCGUUGAAAGUGCUCGGUUUUGGACUGCACUAUGUUCCGUUAGCUUUGCUCUUAAACGUUCAAGGUCACCGCAGAACACCAACAGGCGUGUAUUGUGGAAGGGCUAGCGCUUGAUUAUUCCAGGUGCCAGAUGACUUGGGAGACCUACACGCGCAAAUCUUCGGGCUGACCAGCAGAACGACUAGUCCACAAGCCGAUGACCACAGGUCCAGUCCAAAUUACGUCGACAAGUCAAAUGAAUCUGAUGAACUGCAACUAUUAUUGUUGUUACUAUUUUUUCAUCAUGCCAUCUUCGUAAUUUGACCUCUUUAGACAAGACUAGGCACUGCGACUUCUCUACCCUCGGUGUUUGCAAAUAUAUUCCAGUUGCUCUGGCGGCAAAUGUAAAGUGUCACACCAGAAGAAGAUAAAAUCAUUUGCUUCAGUGCGGCGAGCACAGAAGUCGCAGCUACGACAUAUUCGCCAUGAGCAGCUGGGAAAAUUUCGUGAGGUGGCUGCUUUUUACGAACGAUUUUCAAGCGAAUAAAGUGUAUCCGCACACUAUUUA
rnacentral:lncRNA from 1 species